AAAAACCACAAUUAUUUUG
rnacentral:miRNA from 1 species